GAGGAAUAUUUGGUCAAUGGGCGCUAGCCUGAACCAGCCAAGUAGCGUGAAGGAUGAAGGCUCUAUGGGUCGUAAACUUCUUUUAUAUAAGAAUAAAGUGCAGUAUGUAUACUGUUUUGUGUGUAUUAUAUGAAUAAGGAUCGGCUAACUCC
rnacentral:rRNA from 1 species